ACGUGGGGACACACAGCCAAACCAUAUCAGGGAGAACUCCAAGAUGAAAUGCAGAUUGCUCAAAAAGUAGGCAAGAUGAUCUCCUGGGGCACAGAAAGAACUUUUAGAACUUCUAUUUACAUUCACAUUUCAUCUCAUGCUUUUUAAAUUUAUAUUUUUGAGCAUGUUUUAUAAUGUACAUAAUUUAUUAGUUUGAUAAAAACAUCUAAUGUUUUAUAAAUAAAAAUAAACAUUUCAGUA